rnacentral:rRNA from 1 species
UGGGGAAUAUUGGGCAAUGGGCGAAAGCCUGACCCAGCAACGCCGCGUGAAGGAAGAAGGUUUUCGGAUCGUAAACUUCUAUCCUAGGUGAAGAUAAUGACGGUAGCCUAGAAGGAAGCCCCGGCUAACUACGUGCCAGCAGCCGCGGUAAUACGUAGGGGGCAAGCGUUGUCCGGAAUGAUUGGGCGUAAAGGGCGCGUAGGCGGCCGCGUAAGUCCGACGUGAAAUUCCUGCUUUUAAGGUAGGAAUUGCGUUGGAAACUGCGUGGCUUGAGUGCAGGAGAGGUAAGUGGAAUUCCCGGUGUAGCGGUGAAAUGCGUAGAGAUCGGGAGGAACACCAGUGGCGAAGGCGACUUACUGGACUGUAACUGACGCUGAGGCGCGAAAGUGUGGGGAGCAAACA